rnacentral:rRNA from 1 species
UACGUAGGGUGCUAGCGUUGUUCGGAAUCAUUGGGCGUAAAGAGCUCGUAGGCGGCCACUCAAGUCGAAUGUGAAACCUCGAGGCUUAACCUCGAGCCUGCAUUCGAUACUGGGCGGCUAGAGUCUGGUAGGGGGAUCUGGAAUUCCUGGUGUAGCGGUGGAAUGCGCAGAUAUCAGGAGGAACACCGGUGGCGAAGGCGGGAUCCUGGGCCAGUACUGACGCUGAGGAGCGAAAGCGUGGGGAGCAAACAGG